AUAAAGAAGAGACUUCUACACAUACAAAGUAGGUAGUAGAUAGCUAUGAGUUCCUUCUUAAUGCGAUGUUCGUUUGAUUUUCCAUCUUGUUGCGGUGUUCGUUUGAUUUCCUGCCUUGAAGCGGUGUUCGUUUGAUUUCCCAUCUUGAAGCGGUGUUUGUUUGAUUUCUUGACGUGUUAUAAUGUUCGUCUGGUUCAGAUUGACAGAUCAACUUCCACCAACUACCGAUUCAACCAUUGAUUAAAGUCAUAAACGAUGCAGAUCCAAAGACAUAAGUAUUCUAGUGAUUUUAUUUUAUCACAUUAUUUGUAGGCAUAGUUUAACAUUUUAUUGUAUUAACUUGAUUGUUUUGAGUUUGUUCGCUGAUUCAUCCUUUUUGGUUUUUAGAGGUGUUGAAUGAAUUAGUGCUUGGAUCUAAUUGCCUCUGCCAAUUUUUUCGGUUGAUUGGACUCUACCAAUUUAAAGGAAUACAUAUACACA
rnacentral:lncRNA from 1 species